rnacentral:tRNA from 1 species
GUACCUUUAGCUCAGCUGGUAGAGCAACUGACUCUUAAUCAGUGGGUCCAGGGUUCGAAUCCCUGAAGGUGCACCA